GAUGAACGCUAGCUACAGGCUUAACACAUGCAAGUCGAGGGGUAACGAGAGGAAAGCUUGCUUUCCUUGUCGACGACCGGCGCACGGGUGAGUAACGCGUAUCCACCCUGCCCCCAACUAGGGAAUAACCUUGCGAAAGUAAGACUAAUACCCUAUAAUUUCCUCAGAUGUCAUCUGACGAGGAAUACAGAUUUAUCGGUUGUGGAUGGGGAUGCGUCUGAUUAGCUUGUUGGCGGGGUAACGGCCCACCAAGGCAACGAUCAGUAGGGGGUCUGAGAGGAAGGUCCCCACAUUGGAACUGAGACACGGUCCAAACUCCUACGGGAGGCAGCAGUGAGGAAUAUUGGUCAAUGGGCGGAAGCCUGAACCAGCCAAGUAGCGUGCAGGAUGACGGCCCUAUGGGUUGUAAACUGCUUUUAUACAGGAAUAAAGUUAGCCACGUGUGGUUAUUUGUAGGUACUGUAUGAAUAAGGACCGGCUAAUUCCGUGCCAGCAGCCGCAGUAA
rnacentral:rRNA from 1 species